rnacentral:rRNA from 1 species
AAUGAACGUUGGCGGCGUGGAUUAGGCAUGCAAGUCGUGCGGAAAGGCUCCUUCGGGAGUACUCGAGCGGCGCGAGGGAGAGUAACGCGUGGAUAUCUACCCCCUGGACUGGGAUAGCGGCGGGAAACUGCCGGUAAUACCAGAUACGUCUGCGGACCAAAGGCGUGAUUCCGCCGGGGGAUGAGUUCGCGUCCUAUUAGCUAGUUGGUAGGGUAAUGGCCUACCAAGGCAAAGAUGGGUACCAGGUGUGAGAGCGUGGCCCGGCUCACUGGGACUGAGACACUGCCCAGACACCUACGGGUGGCUGCAGUCGAGAAUCUUCGGCAAUGGGCGCAAGCCUGACCGAGCGACGCCGCGUGCGGGAUGAAGGCCUUCGGGUUGUAAACCGCUGUCAGAGGGGAGGAAAUGCAUGGGAGUUCUCUUUCAUGUUUGACCUAUCCUCAGAGGAAGUACGGGCUAAGUUCGUGCCAGCAGCCGCAGUAACAC